GUACUCGUAGCUCAAUUGGAUAGAGCAUUGGUUUGCGGAACCAAAGGUUGACAGUUCGAUUCUGUCCGGGUACG
rfam:Candidate division WS6 bacterium GW2011_GWC1_33_20 TR34_C0001, whole genome shotgun sequence.